CCAGACUGCAACACCCUUCACCACCUCAACUCCCUGCACCUGCAUUUAACAUGAGGAGAGUUACUCAAGGAACGGCAGUCCCUCCUCACCUCCCUCCACCCCCCGCACCAGCCCUCAACAUGAGGCGAACAGAGGAGCCCUCUUCAAGCCUGGCCUACAGACCAACAUGGCAAGGAGGAAGAACGACCGAUACCAUUCCCUGCUCUGCGGCUGAGUUCCACAUCCUUAGCCUGCUGGAGAACCUUAAACAGCAACAAGACCAGCUUGUGGUAAAGGUGAACUACCUCAGCAGCAGGCUGAACAGCACCCCGGGGCCAGAUGUUGAGAUGCCGGACAAUAUCCAGUUUCCCCUGGAACAAUUCGAGGCAAUGGAAGCAUUUGAAGUGUUUUUAAAG
ensembl:lncRNA